rnacentral:rRNA from 1 species
GUCUACAUCCAUGCCACCCUGAACAAGCCCAACCCUGUCUGAUCUCAGAAGCUAAGCAGGGCUGGGCCCUUGGAUGGGAGACCACCUAGGAAGACCAGGAGCUGUAGGCA